GCCAGCAUGGCAUAAUGGUUUGAGUGUUAGACUAGGACCCUGGAGACCAGGGUUUGAUUCCCUGCUUGACC
rnacentral:tRNA from 1 species